AAAGCAUUUUUUAUGAAUACAUAAAAUUCUUCAACUCAAAUAGUGAAUAAACUGUAUUACCAGAGGAACCUGAGGAUAUUUUGAUUGAACUUAUACAAAAAUGUUAUUUUCUUUAUUGAAUCAAACGUCUUGAAAUACCAAAAUACGCGUGCAACCUAUUUGUUAGUAAAUUUGUUAGUAUAUUUGUUAGUAAACGCAAAAAAGUCCAACCGCAUGCAAACUAAAAAUCGGUUCUCCUCGAUGAAUCUCUGGUAAAGUCCAGUUCAGAGAUCUAUUAGAAUCUUUGAUGUGUCGCAGAUGCCGCACUAGUCCGUGCGCCUAUGUCGUAUUUAUUGUCGCAUGAUAUACAUGUUUAAAUGGCAACAUUUUAUAUUGUUUAUCUAUGAAAUCAUUUUAAAUAUACGUAAAACUCCAUGUUUUAGACUGUUUUUUAUUUUUCUUUCAAAAAUGUCAAUUUUUAGAAGAAAAAUAAUACCACAAGAAAAUAAUAUCAAAAAAUUGACCGCGGACUAAAAUCCAAGCAUCUUACAAAAUAUUUUAAACACUUCCUGCUGUAAUGGAAUUGUCAGCUGGUGUAUAGAAUAUUUGAAGAAAAUUAAAAAAAUUUGGGAGGAAGAAAGAUCCAUAUAUUAUUUAGCGGAAACAUGGUAUGAUACAUUUAUGAUUGAUGUAUGAUUUCCAUUCUCUGGGAAAAAGUCCUUUUUGCCAUACUUACUGCUCCUGUUUGUCCUUCAGUGAUACAAUAAAGACUGCUUCUUCCACCAUUCUUUGAGAAAACCUCUUUUUUGCUAUGCUUACUGCCCCUGUUGUUCUUCAGCGACACAAUAAAGACUGCUUCUUCCUCCAUUCUCUGGAGAAAAGUCCCUUUUUUUGCCAUACUUACUGCCCCUGUUUGUCCUUCAGCGACACAAUAAAGACUGCUUCUUCCACCAUUCUCUGGGAAAACCCUUUUUUUGCCAUACUUACUGUCCCUGUUUGUCCUUCAGCGACACAAUAAAGUAUAUAUAAUGUAAUGCUUUAGUAUCCAUAUGUUGAUGUGCGAUAUGAAGUUGGAAUCCAUAGAGGCAACAGAGAAACUGUUUCCUUCCUUAAUGGAAGAAACUUUUAAAGAACAAAGGCAAAAAAAACAGAAUUUAGAAAAUUGUAUUAACUCUUUGGACCAAAUUCAAAUGAGUGGUUAAAUUUAUAAAAGUAGUAUCCUUAUUGUAGUUUUAGGAUCCAGUAUACUUGUAAAUGUAGUGUUUUGUAUAAGAUUUUUAGUUUUUAGUAUAAGCAUUUAUUUUUGUUAAUUUUCAUCUAAUCUUUCCCAAUAUGCACAAUAACUAAAUAU